GAGAGCAGCAGCUCGGGGCGUGGUCCGGCCUGCGCGAAGGCGGAAGGACUCUUUGGACGGUGAGCUCCGGGUUCUCACCCACGAGAUCCCACAGCCCUCAGGACCGGCACGCCUGGGACUGCAGCAUGGAGGCCGGGCUGCUGUGGUUCUGCAACUGGAGCACGCUGGGCGUGUGCGCCGCACUCAAGCUGCCGCAGAUCUACGCGCAGCUGACGGCACGCAGCGCGCGGGGCAUCAGCCUCCCCAGUUUACUUUUGGAGUUGGCAGGGUUCCUGGUCUUCUUUCGCUACCAAUAUUACUAUGGGAACCCGCUGCUCACCUACCUGGAAUACCCCAUCCUCAUUGCACAGGACAUCAUCCUCCUGCUCUUCGUCUUUCACUUCAAUGGGAACAUGAAGCAGGCCUUGCCCUACGCAGCAGUAUUUGUGUCUUCUUGGUUCAUCCUCAGCCUGCAGAAGUGGAUCAUCGACCUGGCCAUGAACUUAAGCACAGUCAUCAGUGUGGCCAGUAAGUUUGCCCAGCUUCAGUAUCUGUGGAAGGUCCAGGACUCAGGAGCUGUGAGCGCGCUGACCUGGGGCCUCUCUUCCUACACCUGUGCAACAAGAAUAAUAACAACUUUAAUGACCACCAAUGAUUUGACAACCUCAAGCAGUCGGUCCUGUUGCCUCAGCUUCCCUCAUGGGUCCACACUUUACUAGAUUGGUCUUCGUAGAAUGCAGCAUUCUGAGACACCCCAUGUUCUUAAGAUGUAAGUAAAGGGGUCUUAGUUGCACGUCUUAGCCAGAGCCACAGCACUUCAAUGAAGCACCGAGGAUGCAUGGCCAAGCGCCUAAGUUCUCAUCCGUUUUGUGGUCAUGUUGGCUUUAAACAUAUGGGUAACAAUAACAGUAUUGCGCUAUCGGAAGCCUGUCACCAAAGCCGAAUGAUGGAUACAUUCUUUCCACACAAUGGACUUCAAGUAACUGAACCAGGGAUGCAACGUUGCUUUCCACUGCUACAUUUAAAGUCUUUUACUAGUCAAUCAUUUCAGAAAUUUUAAAUCAGGUUUGUUAGAGUUGAAAAGCCUCUUAUCUGGAUAUGGAGGUGCAAACCUACAAUCCUAGCACUUGGGAGUUCAAGGUAGCCUGGGCUAUACAGCAGACUCAGAAGGAAAAAGGUAGAAGGAAAGAACUACUUGUUUUAAAAUGCCAACUUCCUUCCCCCAACUCCCAUAGGUUGUGGUAGGGCUUAGACACUGGGGUUGUUUGGUUGGUGGGUGUGUGUGUGUGUGUGUGUGUGUGUGUGUGUGUGUGUUGAGAUAAAGUCUCACUACAUAGCCCAAGCUAUCCUUCAACUGUGAUCCUUUCUCAGCCUCUGAGCACUGGGAGUGCUGGAAUACAGAGGGGACCACCACACCUGGCUUGACAUCUGCCAUGAUGGAAGCUGCCCAAGAAACCAUUUUAACCCUUAAAGUCAGGACUAAGUUCUCUCUGGAGAGCCAGUUACAUCUAUACUUCGGCUUUCAGAAUCUAUAAUAGUCUUCCCACAAGGAGUGCAGUCUGCUCAGUCACGCCUGACAGUUUAACCCUUCCAUGACCAAGGGCUUGGCCUUGCAUGUCACAAUGCAGAGUGACAUCUGCUCAAGGCAAGCGAGGCUAUCACAGUGCACACAGAUGUUGCUGGGUCUAUAACUAAGUAUGCUCCAACGCUUCACAGUGUGCCUUACACCAUUUCUAACAGAUCCCUGAUCUCUGUUUAGAGGAGGAAAUCCUAACAGCCUUCCUGAUUUGAGCACAAUGUAGCCUUUUUUAAAAAGGGGGUCAUACCUCAUAGUUACACUGCUGGAACUUAGUAUUGGUUUUAGCUACUGGAAGGUAUGCAGUAAAGAGUAUUGCUAAGCCCUACCCAAUUCUCGGGGAUUUUAUUCUUACUAAUGUAACAUAUCCUAAGCAUUGUUCACAGUGUUUCCGCUGAUGUUUUAUAAACCUAACAUUUAAAAGUGCACUUUCUUCUUCUAUAUGCAUGUCAUUAUUCGGGCAUAUUGUAAGUAAGUAAAUGAUGUUUACUGGAAAAUGUUUAGUUUCCUAUAUAAAAUAAACUUUCGCUUAUUGAAUUCCACUGAA